rnacentral:lncRNA from 1 species
UUUAUAUCUUAUUUCAAUCGCCCUCUAACUUUUCUGCGAAGUGAAAAAUACGUGGCCAGAAACGAAACCAGAAUUCAAUCACGUGGAGGGACAAACAAUAUAAAAAUAAAAAUUUUAGCAGAUAAAUAAAAUUUUCCACAAAAAAUAUUUUUCAUCAAAAACACUAUUUUUCACGAUUUUUGUUAUUUGACUAAAAAAUACGAAAAACGAAAAUACUACUUUUUUCAUAAAAUCUAUAAAAGAAAAUUUCU